AGAGUUUGAUCAUGGCUCAGGACGAACGCUGGCGGCGUGCUUAACACAUGCAAGUCGAACGGUGACGGAGGAGCUUGCUCCUCCUGAUCAGUGGCGAACGGGUGAGUAACACGUGAGCAAUCUGCCCCUGACUCUGGGAUAACCUCGGGAAACCGAAGCUAAUACCGGAUACGAAGCGCGAAGGCAUCUUCAGCGCUUGGAAAGAAUUUCGGUCAGGGAUGAGCUCGCGGCCUAUCAGUUAGUUGGUGAGGUAACGGCUCACCAAGACGACGACGGGUAGCCGGCCUGAGAGGGUGACCGGCCACACUGGGACUGAGACACGGCCCAGACUCCUACGGGAGGCAGCAGUGGGGAAUAUUGCACAAUGGGCGCAAGCCUGAUGCAGCAACGCCGCGUGAGGGAUGACGGCCUUCGGGUUGUAAACCUCUUUUAGCAGGGAAGAAGCGAAAGUGACGGUACCUGCAGAAAAAGCACCGGCUAACUACGUGCCAGCAGCCGCGGUAAUACGUAGGGUGCAAGCGUUGUCCGGAAUUAUUGGGCGUAAAGAGCUCGUAGGCGGUUUGUCGCGUCUGCUGUGAAAACGCGAGGCUCAACCUCGCGCCUGCAGUGGGUACGGGCAAACUAGAGUGCGGUAGGGGAGAUUGGAAUUCCUGGUGUAGCGGUGGAAUGCGCAGAUAUCAGGAGGAACACCGAUGGCGAAGGCAGAUCUCUGGGCCGUAACUGACGCUGAGGAGCGAAAGCGUGGGGAGCGAACAGGAUUAGAUACCCUAGUAGUCC
rnacentral:rRNA from 1 species